rnacentral:rRNA from 1 species
CCUACGGGACCAGCAGUGAGGAAUAUUGGUCAAUGGGCGGAAGCCUGAACCAGCCAAGUCGCGUGAGGGAAUAAGGCCCUACGGGUCGUAAACCUCUUUUGCCGGGGAGCAAGGGCCGGGACGAGCCCCGGUCCGGAGAGUACCCGGAGAAAAAGCAUCGGCUAACUCCGUGCCAGCAGCCGCGGUAAUACGGUGGAUGCGAGCGUUAUCCGGAUUUAUUGGGUUUAAAGGGUGCGUAGGCGGUCCGUUAAGUCAGCGGUAAAAUUGCGGGGCUCAACCCCGUCGAGCCGUUGAAACUGGCAGAC